rnacentral:rRNA from 1 species
UAUGAACGCUGGCGGCGUGCCUAAUACAUGCAAGUCGAGCGAACAGACGAGGAGCUUGCUCCUCUGACGUUAGCGGCGGACGGGUGAGUAACACGUGGAUAACCUACCUAUAAGACUGGGAUAACUUCGGGAAACCGGAGCUAAUACCGGAUAAUAUAUUGAACCGCAUGGUUCAAUAGUGAAAGACGGUUUUGCUGUCACUUAUAGAUGGAUCCGCGCCGCAUUAGCUAGUUGGUAAGGUAACGGCUUACCAAGGCAACGAUGCGUAGCCGACCUGAGAGGGUGAUCGGCCACACUGGAACUGAGACACGGUCCAGACUCCUACGGGAGGCAGCAGUAGGGAAUCUUCCGCAAUGGGCGAAAGCCUGACGGAGCAACGCCGCGUGAGUGAUGAAGGUCUUCGGAUCGUAAAACUCUGUUAUUAGGGAAGAACAAAUGUGUAAGUAACUAUGCACGUCUUGACGGUACCUAAUCAGAAAGCCACGGCUAACUACGUG